CUUGACAUCCAGAGAAUUUAGCAGAGAUGCUUUAGUGCCUUCGGGAACUCUGAGACAGGUGCUGCAUGGCUGUCGUCAGCUCGUGUUGUGAAAUGUUGGGUUAACGUCCGCAACGAGCGCAACCCUUAUCCUUUGUUGCCAGUACGUAAUGGUGGGAACUCAAAGGAGACUGCCGGUGAUAAACCGGAGGAAGGUGGGGAUGACGUCAAGUCAUCAUGGCCCUUACGAGUAGGGCUACACACGUGCUACAAUGGCGCAUACAAAGAGAAGCGACCUCGCGAGAGCAAGCGGACCUCAUAAAGUGCGUCGUAGUCCGGAUUGGAGUCUGCAACUCGACUCCAUGAAGUCGGAAUCGCUAGUAAUCGUAAAUCAGAAUGUUACGGUGAAUACGUUCCCGGGCCUUGUACACACCGCCCGUCACACCAUAGGAGUGGGUUGCAAAAGAAGUAGAUAGCUUAACCUUCGGGAGGGCGUUUACCACUUUGUGAUUCAUGACUGGGGUGAAGUCGUAACAAGGUAAGCGUAGUGCU
rnacentral:rRNA from 1 species